GUUGGACAUUAAUAAGGUUAUACCCAGGUUACAAAGGAUGGAUAUGCAUCAAAGAGCAUUGGAGAUCCAUAUGAGGUAUAAUUAUCUUUCAUAUAAUACCUUGAGUCCCUCACAAGAGACUUAUUCAUUGCCCGUAUGCUCAUAGCAUCUUGAGAAAAAUUCCCGAUAUUAGGGGGAGAUUAAUACCACAAAGAAUGCCAGGAAUAAGAACAGAAUGUCACAUACAUUCAUACUCUAUCCUCAUAUCCACGUACCACAGAUCUGAACUCUUAUUCAGAACAUCUUGUAAUUACAAUAUAUUGUAAAUAAUCUGCCAGAUGCAUUUACUCGUCAUAAAGGUGUCAUCAAAUCCUAUAUUUGUACUAGAAAUGUACCAGAACAAGUAGAGGUACCAAAUAAAACCACUCAGCUCCCAAAUCAAAUAAGAGGGGGAGAAGUACGAUCACAAAGGAUAAUGCUUCUUACAAGCUACCGCGGAAAUAGAGAAAUCCAUCCUCCAAGACAGUAAAUGCAAAUCAACAUCAAAUUGAUAGAUACCUUAUGGAUAUUCACUAUCCAAAUGCCUAUGGAUGCUCAGCAUCCAAAUGCCAAGUACAAAUGUGUACACAAAUUCAGGCACUGGGU
rnacentral:lncRNA from 1 species